CCAAUAUUGAAUUUAGAUUGUAUAUGUAUGUAUCUACGGACCGUCGCGUCUUAAUUUGACUCGCGUAUUAUCGGUGAGAAGUUGCUGCUUCUGAAUUUUUUGGUCAUUAACGGAAUGUCGCGGGCACGGAACGGAUCGACUUCGAAGGCGGCGUAGCGAGGUGUGUAAUUAGAAGAGGGGAAAGUGCAUAAAAGUGGAGUUAGGAGCAACAGGUAUAGCAUCGUCAUAGCGGGCAGUGUGCGAAGUUAGACGUGCGUCUCUUGAAUUUCCUUCGUUCGUGAUCUUUGUUCGUGCGCUAUUUGCGAGAUGUCACGAGUGUCGAGCGGAUCGUAUAGUUUCAUAAAUUAGUAAUUUUGGCAUUACUUCUCUGCCGUGAUGUAAAAAGUAUGCGUACGAGUAAUAUCGGGAGUGCCGUGUAAAGUGUCCCGCGCUCGUAAUUAAUUGAAUAUUCGCGAUUAAUGUCGGGAGUGUCGUGUAAAGUAUUGCGCGUCAUAUUGUAGUGUGCGAUCGUAAUGAAAUCAUAUUUGCACGGGUACGUCUUACGCGAGUGCCGUGAAGGAGCAGCGAUGACGAAACAGAGGAGUGAAGAGGAGCAGGCCAGAAAGGGGGCAAGCAACGGCGGAGCAAUCCCAUCUAAGCACAUUGCAAGCUGUCUCGAGUUGUACCAUGCGUGCAAGAAGAUGCGGUGGUUUGAAACUAUCGGUGA